GCGUAAUAUUUUUGCCCAAAUUCUCCCAAAUUUCGGGGGAACCUUUGGGCUUGGACAGAUAGCUCGUUCCAUGGACAGUUCUAGCAAGAAACACCACCUUCUCAAUGCUUACAGAGUUCCAUGGAGAUGUUGAAGAAAAGGGAAAUGGAGUUGGGAGGUUAACAUCGGAGUUAAAAGAACUCCAAUCUUGUAUUUUGUCUUUACGCGGAAGCUGCAAAAGAUUGUAAGCAAGUUCUUUGAGCCUUUCCAAACCUCAGGGAUCAAUCCAAAGCUUUCCAAACAGGUGGGAAAUUGAACAAACUUUGAGAUGAAAAUAUCAAGUGUUUGAUCCUUUUGAAGCACCCAUUUUGAACGUGCCCUUGUUUUCGUUGCUGGGAUUUUACUAUUUGCUUCCCACUUCCAAUAUUUUUCCUUUAGGAAAUGAAUCCAACAACUUAUAUCAUUAUGUUCUUCUGAUUGUUAUAACAAUAAUAUUAAUUAGAAGUUUUUA